rnacentral:rRNA from 1 species
GACGAACGCUGGCGGCGUGCUUAACACAUGCAAGUCGAACGGAAAGGCCCUGCUUUUGUGGGGUGCUCGAGUGGCGAACGGGUGAGUAACACGUGAGUAACCUGCCCUUGACUUUGGGAUAACUUCAGGAAACUGGGGCUAAUACCGGAUAGGAGCUCCUGCUGCAUGGUGGGGGUUGGAAAGUUUCGGCGGUUGGGGAUGGACUCGCGGCUUAUCAGCUUGUUGGUGGGGUAGUGGCUUACCAAGGCUUUGACGGGUAGCCGGCCUGAGAGGGUGACCGGCCACAUUGGGACUGAGAUACGGCCCAGACUCCUACGGGAGGCAGCAGUGGGGAAUAUUGCACAAUGGGCGGAAGCCUGAUGCAGCAACGCCGCGUGCGGGAUGACGGCCUUCGGGUUGUAAACCGCUUUCGCCUGUGACGAAGCGUGAGUGACGGUAAUGGGUAAAGAAGCACCGGCUAACUACGUGCCAGCAGCCGCGGUGAUACGUAGGGUGCGAGCGUUGUCCGGAUUUAUUGGGCGUAAAGGGCUCGUAGGUGGUUGAUCGCGUCGGAAGUGUAAUCUUGGGGCUUAACCCUGAGCGUGCUUUCGAUACGGGUUGACUUGAGGAAGGUAGGAGAGAAUGGAAUUCCUGGUGGAGCGGUGGAAUGCGCAGAUAUCAGGAGGAACACCAGUGGCGAAGGCGGUUCUCUGGGCCUUUCCUGACGCUGAGGAGCGAAAGCGUGGGGAGCGAACAGGCUUAGAUACCCUGGUAGUCCACGCUGUAAACGGUGGGUACUAGGUGUGGGGUCCAUUCCACGGGUUCCGUGCCGUAGCUAACGCUUUAAGUACCCCGCCUGGGGAGUACGGCCGCAAGGCUAAAACUCAAAGGAAUUGACGGGGCCCCGCACAAGCGGCGGAGCAUGCGGAUUAAUUCGAUGCAACGCGUAGAACCUUACCUGGGUUUGACAUGGAUCGGGAGUGCUCAGAGAUGGGUGUGCCUCUUUUGGGGUCGGUUCACAGGUGGUGCAUGCCUGUCGUCAGCUCGUGUCGUGAGAUGUUGGGUUAAGUCCCGCAACGAGCGCAACCCUUGUUCACUGUUGCCAGCACGUUAUGGUGGGGACUCAGUGGAGACCGCCGGGGUCAACUCGGAGGAAGGUGGGGAUGACGUCAAGUCAUCAUGCCCCUUAUGUCCAGGGCUUCACGCAUGCUACAAUGGCUGGUACAGAGAGUGGCGAGCCUGUGAGGGUGAGCGAAUCUCGGAAAGCCGGUCUCAGUUCGGAUUGGGGUCUGCAACUCGACCUCAUGAAGUCGGAGUCGCUAGUAAUCGCAGAUCAGCAACGCUGCGGUGAAUACGUUCCCGGG